UUUUUAAGCAUUAUUUUUCAUGGUAAUUUACAAGUUAAAAUUGAUUUCAUUUUAAGGUCCAACGAUAUCAACAUCGCCAGUGAUUCAUGAAAUAUAAAGUUUGACCUGCUCAAACAGCAAAGGCGCAACACAUCAUUUUUGCUCAUAACAUCUAUUU